AACGAACGCUGGCGGCAUGCCUUACACAUGCAAGUCGAACGCGAAAGUGUCUUCGGACAUUAGUAGAGUGGCAAACGGGUGAGUAACGCGUGGGAAACUACCUUAUAGUACGGAAUAGCCUUGGGAUACUGGGACUAAUACCGUAUAUUCCCUCAGGGGGAAAGAUUUAUCGCUAUAAGAUGUGCCCGCGUCAGAUUAGCUAGUUGGUGGGGUAAUAGCCUACCAAGGCAACGAUCUGUAGCUGGUCUGAGAGGACGAUCAGCCACACUGGGACUGAGACACGGCCCAGACUCCUACGGGAGGCAGCAGUGGGGAAUAUUGGACAAUGGACGCAAGUCUGAUCCAGCAAUGCCGCGUGAAUGAUGAAGGCCUUAGGGUUGUAAAGUUCUUUAAGUGGGGAAGAUAAUGACGGUACCCACAGAAUAAGCACCGGCUAACUUCGUGCCAGCCGCCGCCGUAA
rnacentral:rRNA from 1 species